rnacentral:rRNA from 1 species
CCUACGGGAGGCAGCAGUGGGGAAUUUUGGACAAUGGACGAAAGUCUGAUCCAGCCAUGCCGCGUGCGGGAAGAAGGCCUUCGGGUUGUAAACCGCUUUUGUCAGGGAAGAAAUCCUUUGAGUUAAUACCUCGGGGGGAUGACGGUACCUGAAGAAUAAGCACCGGCUAACUACGUGCCAGCAGCCGCGGUAAUACGUAGGGUGCAAGCGUUAAUCGGAAUUACUGGGCGUAAAGCGUGCGCAGGCGGUUAUAUAAGACAGAGGUGAAAUCCCCGGGCUCAACCUGGGAACUGCCUUUGUGACUGUAUAGCUUGAGUGCGGCAGAGGGGGAUGGAAUUCCGCGUGUAGCAGUGAAAUGCGUAGAUAUGCGGAGGAACACCGAUGGCGAAGGCAAUCCCCUGGGCCUGCACUGACGCUCAUGCACGAAAGCGUGGGGAGCAAACAGGAUUAGAUACCCUGGUAGUCCACGCCCUAAACGAUGUCAACUGGUUGUUGGGAAGGUUCCUUCUCAGUAACGUAGCUAACGCGUGAAGUUGACCGCCNGGAGUACGGCGCGAGUAGAACGACAAGAGUAGUAGACGNGAGAGACGCGACGACGACGACGACGGAGGAGGAGG